UCGAGCGAAGCGAGCGCUAGUCAAGCUUCGUGAGAGGGAACCCGGUGAGAAUCCGGGACUGUCCCGCAACGGUAUGCAGGAACGACCGCCGUCACACGCACUGGUCAGGAUGACUGGGAAGCGACGGCCAGUAGGAGCACCACGGGUGCGCGCCUGCGAGUCCGGAGACCUGCCAGUUGUGCCGGGCGCGC
rnacentral:ncRNA from 1 species